ACACGUGGAAUCAUCUACCUCCGAGGUGGGAAUAACCUAGAGAAAUCUGGGCUAAUACCGCAUAACACUUACGAGUCAAAGCAGCAAUGCGCUUGGAGAGGAGUUCGCGGCCGAUUAGCUAGUUGGCGGGUAAUGGCCCACCAAGGCGAUGAUCGGUAUCCGGCCUGAGAGGGCGCACGGACACACUGGAACUGAAACACGGUCCAGACUCCUACGGGAGGCAGCAGUGGGAAUUUUGCGCAAUGGGGAAAACCCUGACGCAGCAACGCCGCGUGGAGGAUGAAAUAUCUUGGUAUGUAA
rnacentral:rRNA from 1 species